CAUUGUGGUUCAUAUCAGCAGCAGAGGCACCUAACUGACCAGAAAAUGCUGUAGUAUAAGCCCUUCCGGUGGCGUCUGGAA